rnacentral:rRNA from 1 species
GAUGAACGCUAGCGGCAGGCCUAAUACAUGCAAGUCGGACGGGAUUCAGGAGCUUGCUUCUGAUGAGAGUGGCGCACGGGUGCGUAACACGUAUGUAACCUACCUUUAUCAGGGGGAUAGCCUCUCGAAAGAGAGAUUAAGCCCGCAUAAAAUCACAGCACAGCAUUGUGUAAUGAUCAAAUAUUUAUAGGAUAAAGAUGGGCAUGCGGAACAUUAGCUAGAUGGCGGGGUAACGGCCCACCAUGGCGACGAUGUUUAGGGGAUCUGAGAGGAUGGCCCCCCACACUGGUACUGAGGCACGGACCAGACGCCUACGGGAGGCAGCAGUAAGGAAUAGUGGUCAAUGGGCGGAAGCCUGAACCAGCCAUGCCGCGUGCAGGAAGACGGCCCUACGGGUUGUAAACUGCUUUUAUACGGGAAUAAACCCAGAUACGUGUAUCUGGCUGAAUGUACUGUAAGAAUAAGGAUCGGCUAACUCCGUG